rnacentral:rRNA from 1 species
AUGGGAUCGGAGGCGGACAUGACCGGGCCCCUCCUCGCCGGCGGCAGCGGCGUCGCGCCGGCGGCGGAGGCGGAGGUGGUGCCGCCGUGGCGGGAGCAGCUCACGGUGCGGGGCAUAGUGGUCAGCGCCAUCCUCGGGGUGCUCUUCUGCCUCAUCACGCACAAGCUCAACCUCACGGUCGGGAUCAUCCCCUCGCUCAACGUCGCCGCCGGGCUGCUCGGCUACUUCCUCGUGCGGACCUGGACGGCCGCGCUCGAGAGGUUCGGCAUCGUCUCCAAGCCCUUCACCAAGCAGGAGAACACCGUCAUCCAGACCUGCGUCGUCGCCUGCUACGGCCUCGCCUUCAGCGGUGGCUUUGGGUCGUAUAUGCUUGCAAUGGAUCAGAAAACUUAUGAGCUCAUCGGGACUGAUUAUCCUGGUAACAGGGCGGUGGAUGUUAAGAAUCCUUCACUGAGUUGGAUGAUCGGAUUCAUGUUUGUUGUUAGCUUUCUUGGUCUAUUUAGUCUUGUUGCGCUGCGCAAGGUGAUGGUAAUUGAUUACAAGCUGACCUAUCCUAGUGGAACUGCAACAGCUAUGUUGAUAAAUAGCUUUCACACUACUUCUGGAGCUGAGCUUGCAGAAAAACAAGUUAGCUGUCUUGGAAAGUAUUUAAGCAUAAGUUUUAUCUGGAAUUGCUUUAAGUGGUUCUUCAGUGGUGUUGGGGAUUCUUGUGGCUUCGAUAAUUUCCCUUCUCUCGGACUUGCAGCAUUUAAGAACACGUUUUAUUUUGACUUCAGUCCAACCUAUAUUGGGUGUGGUCUAAUAUGCCCACACAUUGUUAAUUGCUCUACACUUCUUGGAGCCAUCAUAUCUUGGGGUUUUCUCUGGCCGUAUAUAUCCACAAAAGCUGGGGAAUGGUACCCAGCUGGCCUCGGAAGCAAUGAUUUCAAAGGACUGUAUGGAUACAAGGUUUUCAUCUCUGUAUCUGUGAUACUUGGUGAUGGUAUCUAUAACCUCAUCAAGAUCAUUUAUGCUACUAUCAAGGAAAUAAUGAAUGCACGAUCAAAGCAAGGAAGGCUUCCCCUUGUCCGGGCUCAGGAUGAUGAUGAAAGUUCUGAAUUAUCUUCUGAAGAGAAGCUUCUGAAUGACGUAUUUGUAAAGGACAGUAUCCCUCCCUGGUUAGCAGGAUCUGGUUAUGUGGGGCUUGCAGCAAUCUCAACUGCAACUGUACCAAUGAUGUUCCCACAGCUCAAGUGGUACCUUGUCCUUUCUGCCUAUGUUGUUGCACCCCUACUCGCCUUCUGCAACUCAUACGGCACUGGCCUAACAGACUGGAACCUUGCAUCCACAUACGGAAAGAUUGGCCUUUUCAUUUUUGCCUCAUGGGUUGGCCAGCAUGGUGGUGUGAUCGCCGGCUUAGCAGCUUGCGGUGUCAUGAUGUCCAUAGUAUCCACAGCUGCUGAUCUCAUGCAGGACUUCAAGACUGGUUACUUUACCCUCUCUUCACCAAGGUCCAUGUUUGUGUCACAAUUGAUUGGGACUGCUCUUGGCUGUGUCAUUGCUCCUCUCACCUUUUGGCUUUACUGGUCGGCCUUUGAUGUUGGCAAUCCUGAUGGCAUGUUCAAAGCUCCAUACGCUGUCAUCUUCCGUGAGAUGGCAAUUUUGGGAGUCGAAGGAUUCUCGGCCCUCCCCCAACACUGCCUAGCAAUCUGCUCUUUCUUCUUCUUUGCAGCCAUAGCGAUCAACCUCCUGAGGGACGUCACUCCAGACAGCGUGUCCAAAUUCAUCCCACUCCCAAUGGCCAUGGCUGUUCCCUUCUACAUUGGAGCGUAUUUUGCGAUUGACAUGUUUGUUGGGACGGUCAUCCUGUUUGUCUGGGAGAAGAUUAACCGCAAGGAGUCGGAGGACUUUGCAGGCGCGGUUGCUUCGGGUUUGAUCUGUGGUGACGGCAUCUGGAGCGUCCCUUCUGCAAUACUCUCUAUCAUGAGGAUUGACCCGCCGAUGUGCAUGUACUUCAAGCCAUCUCUUGCCUAG